UAACCUGCUAAAUAGCCCGUAUUGCUUUGGCAGUACGCUGGCUUCUUAGAGGGACUAUCGGCGCAAGCCGAUGGAAGUUUGAGGCAAUAACAGGUCUGUGAUGCCCUUAGAUGUCCUGGGCUGCACGCGCGUUACACUGACGGAGCCAGCGAGUACUUCCUUGUCCGAAAGGUCCGGGUAAUCUUGUUAAACUCCGUCGUGCUGGGGAUAGAGCAUUGCAAUUAUUGCUCUUCAACGAGGAAUCCCUAGUAAGCGCAAGUCAUCAGCUUGCGUUGAUUACGUCCCUGCCCUUUGUACACACCGCCCGUCGCU
rnacentral:rRNA from 1 species